UAGAGGUUCGAAGGCGAUCAGAUACCGCCCUAGUUCUAACCAUAAACGAUGCCAGCCAGCGAUCCGGCUGUGUUCCUCAAAUGACACGCCGGGCAGCUUCCGGGAAACCAAAGCUUUUGGGUUCCGGGGGAAGUAUGGUUGCAAAGCUGAAACUUAAAGGAAUUGACGGAAGGGCACCACCAGGAAUGGAGCCUGCGGCUUAAUUUGACUCAACACGGGUAAACUUACCCGGCCCGGACACAGGAAGGAUUGACAGAUUAAGAGCUCUUUCUUGAUUCUGUGGGUGGUGGUGCAUGGCCGUUCUUAGUUGGUGGAGCGAUUUGUCUGGUUAAUUCCGAUAACGAACGAGACUCUAGCCUACUAAAUAGACGUUCCGAUCAUCUCCGUCGGACGUUCUUCUUAGAGGGACAAGCGGCGUUUAGCCGCACGAGACAGAGCAAUAACAGGUCUGAGAUGCCCUUAGAUGUCCGGGGCCGCACGCGCGCUACAUUGAAGGAAUCAGCGUGUGCUUUCCCGGUCCGACAGGACUGGGUAACCCGUUGAACCUCCUUCGUGCUGGGGAUAGGAGCUUGUAAUUGUCCUCCUUGAACGAGGAAUUCCCAGUAAGCACGAGUCAUCAGCUCGUGUUGAUUACGUCCCUGCCCUUUGUACACACCGCCCGUCGCUACUACCGAUUGAAUGAUUUAGUGAGGUCCUCGGACUGGCGCUCGGAGCGGCCUUCGGGUCGCGCCGGCGUGCCGGAAAGAUGACCAAACUGAUCA
rnacentral:rRNA from 1 species